UAAGAAGUGAGAAAUUUACACAUGGUUUCGGCCCAUUUAUUGGCGGUGAAAGUCCUCCCUUA
rnacentral:tRNA from 1 species